rnacentral:rRNA from 1 species
CCCUUUGGGUGUGACUGCGUACCUUUUGUAUAAUGGGUCAGCGACUUAUAUUCUGUAGCAAGGUUAACCGAAUAGGGGAGCCGGAGGGAAACCGAGUCUUAAUUGGGCGUUAAGUUGCAGGGUAUAGACCCGAAACCCGGUGAUCUAGCCAUGGGCAGGUUGAAGGUUGGGUAACACUAACUGGAGGACCGAACCGACUAAUGUUGAAAAAUUAGCGGAUGACCUGUGGCUGGGGGUGAAAGGCCAAUCAAACCGGGAGAUAGCUGGUUCUCCCCGAAAGCUAUUUAGGUAGCGCCUCGUGAAUUCAUCUCCGGGGGUAGAGCACUGUUUCGGCUAGGGGGCCAUCCCGGCUUACCAACCCGAUGCAAACUGCGAAUACCGGAGAAUGUUAUCACGGGAGACACACGGCGGGUGCUAACGUCCGUCGUGAAGAGGGAAACAACCCAGACCGCCAGCUAAGGUCCCAAAGUCAUGGUUAAGUGGGAAACGAUGUGGGAAGGCCCAGACAGCCAGGAUGUUGGCUUAGAAGCAGCCAUCAUUUAAAGAAAGCGUAAUAGCUCACUGGUCGAGUCGGCCUGCGCGGAAGAUGUAACGGGGCUAAACCAUGCACCGAAGCUGCGGCAGCGACACUGUGUGUUGUUGGGUAGGGGAGCGUUCUGUAAGCCUGUGAAGGUGUGUCGUGAGGCAUGCUGGAGGUAUCAGAAGUGCGAAUGCUGACAUAAGUAACGAUAAAGCGGGUGAAAAGCCCGCUCGCCGGAAGACCAAGGGUUCCUGUCCAACGUUAAUCGGGGCAGGGUGAGUCGACCCCUAAGGCGAGGCCGAAAGGCGUAGUCGAUGGGAAACGGGUUAAUAUUCCCGUACUUGGUGUUACUGCGAAGGGGGGACGGAGAAGGCUAUGUUGGCCGGGCGACGGUUGUCCCGGUUUAAGCGUGUAGGCUGGUUUUCCAGGCAAAUCCGGAAAAUCAAGGCUGAGGCGUGAUGACGAGGCACUACGGUGCUGAAGCAACAAAUGCCCUGCUUCCAGGAAAAGCCUCUAAGCAUCAGGUAACAUCAAAUCGUACCCCAAACCGACACAGGUGGUCAGGUAGAGAAUACCAAGGCGCUUGAGAGAACUCGGGUGAAGGAACUAGGCAAAAUGGUGCCGUAACUUCGGGAGAAGGCACGCUGACACGUAGGUGAAGUGAUUUACUCAUGGAGCUGAAGUCAGUCGAAGAUACCAGCUGGCUGCAACUGUUUAUUAAAAACACAGCACUGUGCAAACACGAAAGUGGACGUAUACGGUGUGACGCCUGCCCGGUGCCGGAAGGUUAAUUGAUGGGGUCAGCGCAAGCGAAGCUCCUGAUCGAAGCCCCGGUAAACGGCGGCCGUAACUAUAACGGUCCUAAGGUAGCGAAAUUCCUUGUCGGGUAAGUUCCGACCUGCACGAAUGGCGUAAUGAUGGCCAGGCUGUCUCCACCCGAGACUCAGUGAAAUUGAACUCGCUGUGAAGAUGCAGUGUACCCGCGGCAAGACGGAAAGACCCCGUGAACCUUUACUAUAGCUUGACACUGAACAUUGAGCCUUGAUGUGUAGGAUAGGUGGGAGGCUUUGAAGUGUGGACGCCAGUCUGCAUGGAGCCGACCUUGAAAUACCACCCUUUAAUGUUUGAUGUUCUAACGUGGACCCGUUACCCGGGUUGCGGACAGUGUCUGGUGGGUAGUUUGACUGGGGCGGUCUCCUCCUAAAGAGUAACGGAGGAGCACGAAGGUUGGCUAAUCCUGGUCGGACAUCAGGAGGUUAGUGCAAUGGCAUAAGCCAGCUUGACUGCGAGCGUGACGGCGCGAGCAGGUGCGAAAGCAGGUCAUAGUGAUCCGGUGGUUCUGAAUGGAAGGGCCAUCGCUCAACGGAUAAAAGGUACUCCGGGGAUAACAGGCUGAUACCGCCCAAGAGUUCAUAUCGACGGCGGUGUUUGGCACCUCGAUGUCGGCUCAUCACAUCCUGGGGCUGAAGUAGGUCCCAAGGGUAUGGCUGUUCGCCAUUUAAAGUGGUACGCGAGCUGGGUUUAGAACGUCGUGAGACAGUUCGGUCCCUAUCUGCCGUGGGCGCUGGAGAACUGAGGGGGGCUGCUCCUAGUACGAGAGGACCGGAGUGGACGCAUCACUGGUGUUCGGGUUGUCAUGCCAAUGGCACUGCCCGGUAGCUAAAUGCGGAAGAGAUAAGUGCUGAAAGCAUCUAAGCACGAAACUUGCCCCGA